AGCGAACGCUGGCGGCAGGCUUAACACAUGCAAGUCGAGCGGGCGUAGCAAUACGUCAGCGGCAGACGGGUGAGUAACGCGUGGGAACGUACCUUUUGGUUCGGAACAACCCAGGGAAACUUGGGCUAAUACCGGAUAAGCCCUUACGGGGAAAGGAUUAUCGCCGAAGAUCGGCCCGCGUCUGAUUAGCUAGUUGGUGAGGUAACGGCUCACCAAGGCGACGAUCAGUAGCUGGUCUGAGAGGAUGAUCAGCCACAUUGGGACUGAGACACGGCCCAAACUCCUACGGGA
rnacentral:rRNA from 1 species